rnacentral:rRNA from 1 species
UACGGAGGGGGCGAGCGUUAUUCGGAAUUAUUGGGCGUAAAGGGCUCGUAGGCGGUCUGUCGCGUCGGGAGUGAAAACUCAGGGCUUAACCCUGAGCCUGCUUCCGAUACGGGCAGACUAGAGGUAUGCAGGGGAGAACGGAAUUCCUGGUGUAGCGGUGGAAUGCGCAGAUAUCAGGAGGAACACCGGUGGCGAAGGCGGUUCUCUGGGCAUUACCUGACGCUGAGGAGCGAAAGUGUGGGGAGCGAACAGG